rnacentral:lncRNA from 1 species
CUCCCCACAUCUCCCCACACCCCGAACCUGCUCCUCUGCGGCCCCGCUCACUUCACUCACUCACCCCUCUCCAUCCGUCCAUCUCCAACCUGCAGCGCUCUAUUUUUCCUACUGUCCUCAGCUAUAUGCACAACCACCUUUCGCAGUGACAGUCAUGCAAAAAAAGAGAAAUUAUCCCAAGCAGCGUGAAUUCCUGGCACACAUGGAGCAGACCAUUCCCCAACCUCCAUGGAACAUCCAGCAGAACGGACACAAAACAUGAUUCUUUCACCUUCUUCAGUCAUGCUACCACCUGGCAUCUGCUUCAGAGGAAAUAUAAACCACUCUGGAAAAGGGAAAUGUCUUCCUGGGAAGCAUCUAGAUGAAAAUUGCUCUAUGGCUUCUUUGUCCUGCCUUGGAAUAGCUCUUUCCAUUAAAUUCAGCACCAGUGAGACACCCCAUGGGAACUCUGUUUUACUUCCCUCCUCCAGAGCAAUGUUUUCUUGUGUCCUCUUCUUAGGCUAAAUACGACAAGAAGAGCAACAUAUUUUAAAAUCUCAAAUCUGUCAACAAUAACUUCAAGAAUUUCUCUCCCUCUCCUCAUACAGUGUCAACAUAUUUAUUCUUCAUACACUU